rnacentral:rRNA from 1 species
AACGCGAAGAACCUUACCUAGACUUGACAUCUCCUGCAUUACUCUUAAUCGAGGAAGUCCCUUCGGGGACAGGAUGACAGGUGGUGCAUGGUUGUCGUCAGCUCGUGUCGUGAGAUGUUGGGUUAAGUCCCGCAACGAGCGCAACCCUUAUUGUUAGUUGCCAUCAUUAAGUUGGGCACUCUAGCGAGACUGCCCGGGUUAACCGGGAGGAAGGUGGGGAUGACGUCAAAUCAUCAUGCCCCUUAUGUCUAGGGCUACACACGUGCUACAAUGGUCGGUACAAUAAGACGCAAGCCCGCGAGGGGGAGCGAAACUGGAAAACCGAUCUCAGUUCGGAUUGUAGGCUGAAACUCGCCUACAUGAAGCUGGAGUUGCUAGUAAUCGCGAAUCAGCAUGUCGCGGUGAAUACGUUCCCGGGCCUUGUACACACCG